UACGAAGGGGGCUAGCGUUGCUCGGAAUCACUGGGCGUAAAGCGCACGUAGGCGGCUUCUCAAGUCAGGGGUGAAAUCCUGGAGCUCAACUCCAGAACUGCCUUUGAUACUGAGGAGCUCGAGUCCGGGAGAGGUGAGUGGAACUGCGAGUGUAGAGGUGAAAUUCGUAGAUAUCGGGAGGAACACCAGUGGCGAAGGCGGCGAUCUGGGAAGAUACUGACGCUGAGGUGCGAAAGCGUGGGGAGCAAACAGG
rnacentral:rRNA from 1 species